rnacentral:rRNA from 1 species
GACGGGGGGGGCAAGUGUUCUUCGGAAUGACUGGGCGUAAAGCGUGCGCAGGCGGUGAUGUAAGACAGUUGUGAAAUCCCCGGGCUCAACCUGGGAACUGCAUCUGUGACUGCAUCGCUGGAGUGCGGCAGAGGGGGAUGGAAUUCCGCGUGUAGCAGUGAAAUGCGUAGAUAUGCGGAGGAACACCGAUGGCGAAGGCAGCCCCCUGGGCUAGCACUGACGCUCAGGCACGAAAGCGUGGGGAGCAAACAGG